UACGUAGGGUGCAAGCGUUAAUCGGAAUUACUGGGCGUAAAGCGUGCGCAGGCGGCUUUGCAAGACAGAUGUGAAAUCCCCGGGCUCAACCUGGGAACUGCAUUUGUGACUGCAUGGCUAGAGUACGGUAGAGGGGGAUGGAAUUCCGCGUGUAGCAGUGAAAUGCGUAGAUAUGCGGAGGAACACCGAUGGCGAAGGCAGUCCCCUGGGCCUGCACUGACACUCAAGCACGAAAGCGUGGGGAGCAAACAGG
rnacentral:rRNA from 1 species